UACGAAGGGGGCUAGCGUUGUUCGGAUUUACUGGGCGUAAAGCGCACGUAGGCGGGUUGUUAAGUCAGGGGUGAAAUCCCGGAGCUCAACUCCGGAACUGCCUUUGAUACUGGCAAUCUAGAGACUGGAAGAGGUUAGUGGAAUUCCCAGUGUAGAGGUGAAAUUCGUAGAUAUUGGGAAGAACACCAGUGGCGAAGGCGGCUAACUGGUCCAGUACUGACGCUGAGGUGCGAAAGCGUGGGGAGCAAACAGG
rnacentral:rRNA from 1 species